UCACACAAAGCCUUCUUUUGUUGUUGAGUAGUUGAGUGAUUAUACAGUCUGGAUAGGAUAACACUGCCACUCAGCCUCCAAGUACUUUUUCAAAUAGCAGAGUGGGAAGCCCCUGCAUCUGGCCCCAUUCAGCUUCCUCAGUGUCCAUAUUUUUACAUAAACCCACCUGGGCAUUUUUUUUACUGUGUUGUGAAACUGUUUUUGUAUGGUCUCCUUUAAGUCUUCGAAUGAGUUCAGACUUGAAAGCGUACCAUCUUGACUCUAUGAAGGAGGAGUAUGAGGAGAGUGUGUGUGCAUGUGUUGGUGGGGGGAGGGAAAACUUUCUAUUUAGAUGUACUUUUUUCCAGCUCAAUUAAAUACCCAUACUUGACUUGAGAGGUGCUCUUAACACAUUUGACUUAGUAGUAGUAGUCUAAGUGGCAUGUGUCUUUUGUGCGCUGGCUGCAAAUGCUGCAUUCUUCCGCUUGGUCUCUUUUUUCAUUGACAGAAGAUUUGGGAAGAAGCCAAAGUACAAAAACACAAGAAGAGGUACAAACCCCCUAGGUGGAUGUCUUUGUGUUGGGCAUCAUAAUUAGUUGUUCGUUUGAGGAAGACAAAGACACUUAACACACAAACAGUAAAAACCAGUCAAACUGACAAACGGAAAGAUAAUGCAUCUCACCCCUGAAUUGGCAUCUGCAUGAAUGGAGGGCCUAAAAAAGAUGUCCAGGUCAACAUGAAAACAAUAAUGCAGACAGAAGAAAUAACAGGCAAAGGGACUAAGACAAAAACAGAAGACACAACUUGUGAUCAGACUCCAGC